UACGUAGGGUGCGAGCGUUGUCCGGAAUUAUUGGGCGUAAAGAGCUCGUAGGCGGUUCGUCGCGUCGGCUGUGAAAAACCUGAGGCUCAACCUCAGGCCUGCAGUCGAUACGGGCGGACUUGAGUACUGCAGGGGAGACUGGAAUUCCUGGUGUAGCGGUGAAAUGCGCAGAUAUCAGGAGGAACACCGGUGGCGAAGGCGGGUCUCUGGGCAGUAACUGACGCUGAGGAGCGAAAGCGUGGGGAGCGAACAGG
rnacentral:rRNA from 1 species